UAUUGCACAAUGGGGGAAACCCUGAUGCAGCAACGCCGCGUGAGUGAGGAAGUAUUUCGGUAUGUAAAGCUCUGUCAGCAGGGAAGAAAGAAAUGACGGUACCUGACCAAGAAGCCCCGGCUAACUACGUGCCCGACGCCGCGGUAAUACGGAGGGGGCAAGCGUUAUCCGGAAUUACUGGGUGUAAAGGGAGCGUAGACGGUAAUGUAAGUCUGGAGUGAAAGGCGGGGGCCCAACCCCCGGACUGCUCUGGAAACUAUGUUACUAGAGUGCAGGAGAGGUAAGCGGAAUUCCUAGUGUAGCGGUGAAAUGCGUAGAUAUUAGGAGGAACACCAGUGGCGAAGGCGGCUUACUGGACUGUAACUGACGUUGAGGCUCGAAAGCGUGGGGAGCAAACAGG
rnacentral:rRNA from 1 species